UACAUGGGGUGCAAACGUUGCUCGGAAUUAUUGGGCGUAAAGCGCACGUAGGCGGUUUGUUAAGUCGGAUGUGAAAUCCCUCGGCUCAACUGAGGAAGUGCAUCCGAAACUGGCAAGCUUGAGUACGAAAGAGGGUCGCGGAAUUCCCGGUGUAGAGGUGAAAUUCGUAGAUAUCGGGAGGAACACCGGUGGCGAAGGCGGCGACCUGGGUCGAUACUGACGCUGAGGUGCGAAAGCGUGGGGGGCAAACAGG
rnacentral:rRNA from 1 species